AAAGAAGCCCCCCCUUCGUGAAAAGCGUGACCCCCCCUUGUUAAAACCCUCACGCGCGCGGCCUCCAGCUGCUCAGCGCCCCGUCGCCGCCGACCCAGCCCACUCCCGCUGCACCGCUACAGAAGCUCAGCCCCUUGCCGUUUCGCCCAACCAAAACCCACAGUCACCGCUCGUGCUCUGCCGUACCGCUCGCAGUUCGCCAUCGAAGUCGUGUCGGAUCAGUGACCUGCAGCCUCCAGUCGCACCAUUUGUUCAACCCAGUUGCGCGUCAAAUUCGCUGUUCGUGGGUUCCGUGCCGUUGCCCAGAUCUAUCCAGUCGCCACGUCUCGUCGUCCAGCCCAGGUUCGCUUCACCUCACCGUCAGAUCCAUGCCAUCACGUCAGAUCUGCCACCUAACCGUCGGACUCCUUCUGUCACCGCCACCAUUGUUUGUGCCAGAAUAUCGAAGUCUUUGAAUUUGAGUGUUGGAAGAGUUUCAAGGUCGAAAGCGGAUCGUGUGGCAUUGCAAAAAUUGUUUCGGGUUGAUCAAUCAAACUUUUGGUUUUGGCUUUGAUCUUGGAUCGAGCCACAACUUUGGUAAGUUAAAUUGGGGUUCGUUGGAUUAAAUGUGGUAUGUUUUGAUUUUUUGAAUUCUAGUGUUUGUGUUUUAUGCUAGGGGAAUUAAUUCGAGAGUUACUUUGUUAGAGAUUAAUUGCUUGGAUUAAUUUUGGAAUUUAGAUUCGAGAAGACGGUUCGGAGGUGAGCGACAACAUGAUUUGGUGGACGAUAGCCUUGGCGUGCACAACGACAGCAAGAGUUGCUGAGAUUGAUGAGAGCGAGAGAUCAAAGAAGAAAAGCUCUUCAAGAGGUACCCUGAUAAAAGUUCCUUCAUAAAGGUGGUGCUUUCCUUUGGGGAUUCACCAGAGGUUGUGUUUCCUUUGGGAUUCACUAGAGGUGGUGUCUCUUUUAGGAUUCACUAGAGAUUGUGGAUCCUACGGGACUUACUAGAGGUAGUAAGGGUAGAAAUGCACCAACGAUUGACAAGCGAAAUCCGUGAUCGAGCCACUGGGAUCAGUUUUAUGCUUCUACUCAUGAUAUUUAUAUUUCUUUUCAUGUUUUUCAACUUUCAGUUUUGGUAUUUGGAACUUACUGUUGAGAUUUGUUUUCAGACUUAUUUAUUUACGUUUAUGACUUUUGGGUAUCCUAUCAUUUGAAUUUAUUAUUUGGAUUUAAUGAAAAUAUUUUAAGCUACUUUAUUUAUUUAGCAUUUAUUUUACUAUAAAAAAGAUGUCAUUUUAAGUUCGAUGCAUGCAUGUGUUUAGUAAUGGCCUAGUUUGAGUCCUAGGGGGGCGGGUCGUUACAGAUAACUUCUAUCACUGGUUGGAGUCUAUCACCAAUAGCUUCAAUCAUUUUCAUGUUAUCAGUGAUGGAAGCUAUCAGUGAUAGAAGUUAUCAUUGAUAGAUCAUAUAAUAAGUCGGAAACAAGACAAUAAAUCUGGAUGUUUUUUCUUCUAACUUCAUCAAAAUCCAAGAGAUUGAAUCGGAGAGCUUUAAAUUUGAAUUUUGUUCCUCUUCCUCCCUCUGAAACGAAUAAGCUUAACUUCCUCCUUGAAACGAAUACGUGCCUCCCUCUGAAAAAGGAAAUAUGAUAAAGGGAAAGAGAUGACAAAAACGAACACACGAAUUGAAUCCAAGAGAUUGAAUUGGAUAGCUUCAAAUUUAGAUUUCGUUUUUCUUCCUCCUCUAAAACGAAUGCCUAAAGCUUCUUCGAAAAAGGAAAUAUGAUAAACGGAAAGAGAGGUAUAUGAUAAAGGGAAAGAGUGGUCAAUUUUGGAAUUUUCAAAAAACAAAAACCUUGACGGGUCAAAAUUUGUUAAAAUUGCAAAUAUUCCAAACAUGGAAUAUAGGAUAAGUUAUUUUUCCUUUUUGUAUUAUUUGAUACAAAUUUCCUUUUUUUAUUUUUAUUUUUCUUUACAUUUAUAUUUACUUUAUGUGCACCUUUU